rfam:Tupaia chinensis contig49440, whole genome shotgun sequence.
UUUGCUUCAGCAGUACAUAUUACUAAAAUUGGAACGAUACGGAGAAGAUGAGCAUAGCCUCUGCUGGAGGAUGACAUGCAAAUUCCUGAAGCACUCCAAUUUUUU